rnacentral:rRNA from 1 species
CCUACGGGCGGCUGCAGUAGGGAAUAUUGGUCAAUGGGCGCAAGCCUGAACCAGCCAUGCCGCGUGCAGGAUGAAGGCCCUCAGGGUCGUAAACUGCUUUUGUACGGGAACAAAAAGCUCCUGCGGGAGCCAUUGAGGGUACCGUAAGAAUAAGCACCGGCUAACUCCGUGCCAGCAGCCGCGGUAAUACGGAGGGUGCAAGCGUUAUCCGGAUUUACUGGGUUUAAAGGGUGCGUAGGCGGCUUUUUAAGUCAGUGGUGAAAGCCUAGCGCUUA